rnacentral:rRNA from 1 species
AAAUUGAAGAGUUUGAUCAUGGCUCAGAUUGAACGCUGGCGGCAGGCCUAACACAUGCAAGUCGAACGGUAACAGGAAGAAGCUUGCUUCUUUGCUGACGAGUGGCGGACGGGUGAGUAAUGUCUGGGAAACUGCCUGAUGGAGGGGGAUAACUACUGGAAACGGUAGCUAAUACCGCAUAACGUCGCAAGACCAAAGAGGGGGACCUUCGGGCCUCUUGCCAUCGGAUGUGCCCAGAUGGGAUUAGCUUGUUGGUGGGGUAAUGGCUCACC